AGCCAUGUGGGCAACUAGAUAAGUCGCCGGGGCUUUCAUCCCUGGAGAAGCGGGUUCGAAUCCCGUCAUGGCUU
rnacentral:tRNA from 1 species